rnacentral:tRNA from 1 species
ACUUAAAUAGCUUAUGAAGAGUAUAAUAUUGAAGAUAUUAAGGAAAUAGAAUUAUUUUUAAGUA